GCGAUUAUGGUGAAGUGGUUAACACAUCUGGCUGUGAACCAGACAUUCGUCAGUUCGAUUCUGAUUAAUCGCCCCA
rnacentral:tRNA from 1 species